AUGAACAUAGUUGAGCAAGUGUCUCUGGGCUUAGAUGCAGUAUCCACUGGGUAUAUAUCCAACAGUGGUACAGCUGGAUCUGGAGCCGCUGCCCUCGGGGACAACUCCUCUUCUAGCACCAAAGACAUCAAGAAAAUACUAGAUAGCGUGGGCAUCGAGGCGGAUGAUGACCAGCCCAACAAGGUCAUCAGUGAGCUGAAUGGAGAGAACAUUGAGGAUGUCAUCGCUCAGGGUGUUGGCAAGCUGGCCAGUGUGCCUGCUGGUGGGGCUGUGGCUGUUUCUGCUGCCCCUGGCUCUGCAGCUCCUGCUGCUAGUUCUGCCCCUGCUGCAGCAGAGGAGAAGAAAGAUGAGAAGGAGGAGUCUGAAGAGUUGGACGAUGGCAUGGGAUUUGGCUUGUUUGAUUAAAUUCCUGCACCCCUGCAAAUAAAGCCUUUUUA